GACCAGACUCCUACGGGAGGCAGCAGUGGGGGAUAUUGCACAAUGGGGGAAACCCUGAUGCAGCGACGCCGCGUGGGCGAAGAAGUAUUUCGGUAUGUAAAGCCCUAUCAGCAGGGAAGAAGAAAUGACGGUACCUGAGUAAGAAGCACCGGCUAAAUACGUGCCAGCAGCCGCGGUAAUACGUAGGGGGCAAGCGUUAUCCGGAUUUACUGGGUGUAAAGGGGGCGCAGACGGCAGCGCAAGCCAGGAGUGAAAGCCCGGGGCCCAACCCCGGGACUGCUCUUGGAACUGCGCGGCUGGAGUGCAGGAGGGGCAGGCGGAAUUCCUGGUGUAGCGGUGAAAUGCGUAGAUAUCAGGAGGAACACCGGUGGCGAAGGCGGCCUGCUGGACUGCGACUGACGUUGAGGCCCGAAAGCGUGGGGAGCAAACAGGAUUAGAUACCCGGGUA
rnacentral:rRNA from 1 species